GAGGGUGUAGGUCAGUGGUAGACUGCGUGCCUAACAUGCACAAGGUCCUGGGUUCAAUCCCCAGUGCCUCCA
rnacentral:tRNA from 1 species